rnacentral:lncRNA from 1 species
AAGUGCUCCUUUGAGGCAGAUCCUAACCUACUGCAGUGAUCUUUCCCUAGAGAAGACUCACAGAACUGGCAAUCAUUGCACCAGGAGAGAUGAAUUGCUUUGCUCUGAAGUACAGAAAUCUACCCAAUGACACGGCACCCCACACACAACAAGGAGAUGUGUACAAAUAUCUAGUUCAUACAAUUUCAAUCAAGGAAUGAGAAGAGAAAACACUUCUGCAUCAAGGUGACUUCACUCAAUUGCAGCUGAAAACGAAUGAGAUCAUGUCAGUAAAUGCCUUUGGGCUCUUCAAAGAAAGUGAAAAACCCACCAGUUCACUGUGAAUCCCAAGCCUGCAGGUGCAUGCAAAUUUUCCCCUCCCAUCUAGCCUUCCUUGCAGAGCCACCCCCAGAACCAAAUGCGUGAAGUCAGCAGAUCUCUCUUCUCGCCUGGAAAUAACCAUUACUCACCUGAGUUAAUGGGUAAAGUGAGGCUUCCUUUACUUCAAGGGCCACUGGGAAUAGCUACACGACCUCCAGCAGAUGCAUUGAUAUUUCUGGGACUGUUUGUCCAUGUCUCUCUCUUCAUCUGUCAGCCCCACAUUCCUCUGCUUUGAUCUAGUUCUGAGCAAGCUCUUUCAUUGAGGUGGUAAAUGACUGCCUGAAGCACCAGGUCUCCAUCCUAACCCCUACCCCUGAAAUAUCCUCAUAGAGGAAAACCCUUCU